ensembl:lncRNA
AGGUCUUCCUCAAGCCUUGUCUCUCUGGCUUCUCCAGGCUUGCUGAGCGAUAACUGAUCUGCUUUUCAAGCACACCAAGCUCCUUCCCACCUCAGGGCCUUCCCACUUGCUGUUCCCUCUGCCUGGAAAGCUCUCCCUGGGCAUUUUCCCACAGCAGACUCCUUCUCAUCAACAGGUAUCACAGACCACCUCGCUGGGAUACCUCUUCUGACCCCAUAUAAAGGAGCCACCAAUCUCCAGCCACUCCAUCACAUGGCAUAUUUUCCUUUCAGUAACCUCUCAUCCCAUACCUACGGUGGAUAGCAAUCAUUUGACCCCUGAUUCCUGCCAUAGGAAUGGGCCUGUGACCCAGGCUGACCAGCUAUUCCCUUGGACUUGGAAAUUGAACCAGGAGAAGAAAUGAUCCCCACCCCCACCUCCAAGGAGGGCCAGUUAACAGUUUAUGAAGAGACUGAUGUGGACCUCUUUAGGUAUCUGAAAUUAUGAGCUUCUAAGUGUACUUUUGUUGUCAAGCAGAGCAAGCCGACCUGAGAGUUAAACCAAAGCAGAGAAAGGAUUGCUGAAAAGUAGAAAGCUGACAUCUGUCUCUGUUCAGUUUGAACCCUUGCAUCCAGCUAUAUCUGAAGUCAGGUCUCCCAAACUUCCCAGUUAUGUGAGACCUAACUCUUUGGUUUACCUGCAAUCAUAAGGUAAAUAUUGGUAACUAGAAGUGGAGUACAGCAAGUUUCGGGCCUUGACACAAAGAACUGGGUGAAUUGAGGUAUGUAAGUGGGAAUGAGGAUUCUUCUGUCCCCAUCUAAGAACUGUACACUGGAUUGUAGGGUAACCACACAUGUUAUAUUUGGAAAAUCUGAUCAAGUCUUCUAUGGCUAGUGUUUUGGUGACCUGAAAAUGUCCAGAACUUGGAAUAAGUUGAUGAUUUUUUGAUGCUUUUAAUAACUUCGAUAAAAUUAUGGCCUUCAUCAAGCAGUUAAGCAUAUUGUUGGGAUAUGGCCCAGCAAUUCCACUCCUAGGUAUUCCAAAAGAAAUACAAACACAUGUUCACAUCAAAACUUGUACAUGAAUGUUUAUAGCAAUAUUAUCGUAAUAGCCAAGAGUAAGAAACAACC